CUACGGUUAAAAAAUGGUAGGAAAUCCAAUAAAAUGAAAAAAAAAUAUAUAUAAACAGAAGCAUAGCAUACGAAGCAGCCCAAUCAAAAAUUUCAGAAUCAAAUUUUUUCCAUCUUAAAUGACGAAAGGGCUAAACUACAUGCCGUUGCACAAGUCCUUGGCAGCUUUUCCAGUUGCUUCGUUUCGAUCAACCUUAAAAAGAAGAUCACUCUCUUCAAAGCCUCAAAAAUGGCAGUCCCGAGUAGCCUUGCAAAGGAAGCAGAGAUAGGUUCUUCAUGAUGGGUUUUGUUCUUGGAGGAAAGAAGGAAUUGUUCUAUUGAGAAAGAAGAAGAGGUGUUGACUUUGCAGGGAAGAAAAGAG
rnacentral:misc_RNA from 1 species